UACGAGGGGGGCGAGCGUUGUUCGGAGUUAUUGGGCGUAAAGGGCGCGUAGGCGGUCGGAUAAGUCUUGUGUGAAAUCUUCGGGCUCAACUCGAAGUCUGCACAGGAAACUAUCUGGCUUGAGUGUGGGAGAGGUGAGUGGAAUUCCUGGUGUAGCGGUGAAAUGCGUAGAUAUCAGGAGGAACACCUGUGGCGAAAGCGGCUCACUGGACCACAACUGACGCUGAGGCGCGAAAGCUAGGGGAGCAAACAGG
rnacentral:rRNA from 1 species